AUUUGAUACUAAUUUUAUUUCAUAAGUCUUCCAACCUCUGCGUAGCUGCAAGCUCCGAAAUUAUAUCAGCUAAUUAACUACGCCAAGAAAGAUGUCAAUUUAUACCACAUUCAUCAUCCUCUUCCUUACAAUUUAUACUCAUCAAUCCCUCUCUUUUACCAAUGAAUCUGAAUCUGACCCGUACGUGGCCCUAUUUACAUUACACCCCAUUUGGGCGCGGGACACGUGCAUAGGGCGCGACCCCGAAACGGGCAGCCUCGCCGUGCUCCCCUGCGAUCCCGACAAGUUGCUCAAGUUCAAGGUCACAUUUGAACACACCCGCGCCAAGGCCAUCCAAACCAAUGGCACGACUGGAUCCUGGCUUUGUUUGGAAGAGGUAGAAAAUUCAAACUUGGUCGCAUUGGGGGAAUGUGAGACGGAAAAGAAGGAGCAGGACUGGACUUUUGAGUUCAUCCUCAACACCCAUUUCUGCCGCGUGAGGGCCAAAUCGACCAACUGUUUGAGGCGGGACGACAAGAAUGCUACAAAGCUUACGUCGGGGGAGUGUUCGAGAAAGGAUUACUGGUGGAUUAAGUGGGUGGAUUAGCUCCGGAAUCAGGAUCGUAUUCACCUACUUGAAAGUCCUGAUUUUUAAAUGAAAUUUCCCUUCGGUACGAUGUUAAUUUCAUAAUUGCACUUGAUAGCAACCAAUCAAAAUUUUCAGCCAGUUUCUAUUUUUCGAAAUUUUUGAGAAAUUUUGUGUCAAGGUAAUUUAUGCAGUAAUUCCAAAAUGAAAAUGAUGAAUUUAAAAAUAUUUAUUGCUGAAAUAUUUACAAUCUUAACGAUAAUGUUAUAUACCUACCCUUUUGAGAAGUAAGUUUCAAAUGUUAUAAUACAUGCAAACGACUAUUCUCCUAAUUCGAAAUUAAGUAAACUAUUCUAAAUCCAUAAUGAAGUUUUCCUCUUUAUUAAGUCAACACUACUCUGGAUUUAGUAUGCCUUACUGAAUUUAGAAUUUAUGUUAAGUGAACUUACACUACAAAAAUGUAACAAUAUUUUUCAGAGUUUACAUUAUACACUUGGACACGCAAAAAUUUAUUAAAUACAAAAUGAUUUUUUAGGCUUCAUUAUAUUCAUAUUCAAAUAAUUUUCAAUUAAUUAAAAUAGAUCGCUUUAAUAAAAAAAUAAUUAUGUGAUGCAACCGUUAUCAAAGAAA